UAAUUUUGUUUGUAUUUGAGUAUUUUGUUAAUGCUUGUUGCUUGCGGCCGAGAAUAACCGUUAACGGAAAGACAUGCACAUGAGCCUGUUUGACUAACAUUCUCGUACACCUGCAUCCUCGCAGAAUUUAUCCGCAUGAUGACGGCCAAGUGAAGAGUUUGCUGCUCUUCUUCUUUGCACUACUGGAGUUCGUGACAAUGAUGACCUCCAAGUGAAGUGCUCGCCUUGUCUUAUUUAAAUACUAUAUCAACUAUUAUUAUCAUGAUUAUUAUUAUUCUGCUGUCAUUACUAUUGUUACUAUCAUUUCUACCGCUGUUAGUCAAUCGAAAGUCAAUAAGGAAAAUAAUUGGGUUCACAUUACUGGCGCAGCAAGGAACGAUGCAGUACCUGAUGAUAAGUUGUAUGGUCACCCAAACUUCCGCCUUCGCUCACCAUAGUUGUCACCAUGAUUUUUUGAGAAGGGUAUAUUGGUCAACAUUAUCCUAAAAUGUCUGCCUGAUCACCUGUGACGGCACUUAGAAUCUGGGAAAUAAAUUCAAUGUUCAAUUGAACAAACAGUUGACACUAUGGACAGAGGGUCUAAAAUAGAAGGCACAUGCAUUGUGGGGGCGGAAGAGGUGAUGGUGCGAUGGUUGAACACAUUGGCCUGAUUGUAUUUAGGUUCCCACCAUUAUUGUGUCUCAUGAUCAUGGCUGGUUAUUCUUCACGUCACCAAUAAGCACUCACUAUUGAACUCGGACGAAUUACUAACUUUAAUGCUGAUCUUGUCCGUCGUUAUUCUUGCUAUGUUUUGUGGUCUGAUAUUUGCGCGGUUCUGGUUUCUUUGGUGGUACUUGCCUUAUAGUUUUGUAGCUCUAGUUCUUUCAACCUUGCUAAUGUGGGAUUGAUUGCUCUUCAUAAACUUCUUCAAGAAUUAAUUCUGUAAGAAUUUCAUAAGUAAUCUAAAAGCUUGUAAUAAAGUUCCAUUCGAUUCUGUGAGUCUGAAUGAAUUUCUUCGCAUUUUCGAUUAACUACUGAGUUCCCCAUUGUACAAUUUAAUUUUCGUUCUCUUAGGUAGCAUUGUAGUUAAUAUCUCGGGGAUAUUGCACUAAUAAUAUUAUUGUCAUUGGCUGUAAAUCAUCUUUAAUAUACGGAGCUCUUUAAAACCUAAUAAAUCCUUUAAUGUUGAACUGAAGAAGUAGCAUGAGCAAGUUAUUCUCUUCGUAGACACAUAGCGUUGGUAUAUGAGCAGAGGCAUCGGGUUGUCACCUCGAAAAUUGGUCAAAUUCCAGAGGUGUAGGUAAGUUUCUACUUCUACUGUUGCUCCAUCUCUACUUUUAUUGAUAGAAGUACAUUUCCCUCACCCACUCCUAUCAAGUAGAUUUAGUUUUCUACACGCCCAUCGAACAGCGAGAGGUUUGAACCGUUGUCUCACUCUUGCUGUGGCUGCCAAACCAGCUUGGCUUUCUUGACUCAUCACGAGCGCACUUACUAGCCAAAACUUCCAUAUUCUUCGAAUUUGGCCCUAUUAAAUUCCACCGGUGAAGAUGUCCAUAUUCCUUCGCUGCUAUGCGAGUGUAUACAAGUCACGUUUAUUUCUAAGCGCUUUGCUUCACCAGCCAAUAUGGCCGUUGAGACUGUAAGAGACUGAAGCCCUUUGAUUUGCAGUGUUUUUUGGAGGGGGAAGAGCAAAGACCUGUUAGCUUAUCCGGCUGCAGUUGACCGCCUUAGGGAUUGUUGUAAUGCCGUCAGGCUUUUAGCACUGCAGUCGUGUUCUCUGCACAAUGGUGACGUGAGUUGGUACGAUAAUACCGGGUGCACGACUCGAGUUUUAACGGUGAUACUGGGUACACACGAGUCUGUACACGGUGGUACCGUGAACACGACGUGGGCCUCAGUCUUUUACCGUCUUUGACGAUGCGAAUUUAAAUGUUCAAAUAUCUCGAGACGCUGCAUUGAGUGUCGCUACAUGUUUUCUGUUUUGCUAAAUCACUGAUAUAAUAAAUAUUUGUCCUGAAAUUUCUCUGUGAGAACAUCCAAAGCCUCGACCGUAUCAUGUAUAGUGAGAUAACAUUUUCUUUAAAACAUUACCUUUAUUCGAAUUUGAAAUAUUUAGUAAAAACUUGAUAAUGCUAAAAUAUAAAGCAAAAUGUAAUCGUAAUUUUAGAAUAAAGCUGUAGGAGACUUUGGUACGACAUUAUUGAUGUGAGUGUUGUAGAGAAGCGCUUCAAGUCUCAAUUGUAACUAUUGUGAUCAAGAUUCAGCUUCUAAUUACGGUAUAGUUUCCACUGUAAUUUAGACCCGCGUUUACUUGAUUAUUUAAAGUCAGACGGCGAUGGUAGUCUUCCUUGAUCAGUUCUUUCUCGUCAUGUCGACAUCGCUCUGCAGUCGAAACUUUUGCCGCAUCUUCUCGAAUUGUGUGCUGGAAUCCUGUCUGGUAGAACUUUUAGAGGUGACUGUUAGGUGGUUGAUUUAUAUUCCAUUAGCUUCCUUUAUAUUGAAGUAGAUUUGAGUAUCAUAAAUAUGUUCUAAAAAUGUAUUGUUUUAAUUACCUUCUCUUUUGAUCUUAGUUUGGGGGUAAACUUUUUUCCGUUAGCGCUUCGGAUGUUACUCAUAACCUCGGUUCGGCUUAGUUGGCUUUCGCUGUUGUGUUCGACUAAAAAAAAGCGUGUCCCUAUCAAGGUUCUACCUCACACAGCUUUCCCAAUCCCGGCCCCAGAGUCUGCUAGUUUCCUUAUAGCGGAUCUUGGCGACAUCUACCCAAAUUUGUAAUUGUCAACUUGACGUUGAAUGCGCACCUCUUUUAUGAUAUUUGCCUAGUAAUGAAAUCUUUAGUGUGGAAUGUACUUAUCCUUGGGUCUAUUAAUACUACUACAACUACUAAUAUACUACUACUAGAAGUGCACCGUUUCUACUGCUCUAUAACUACUAUUAGUCUAGUAUCUCGGAGCUGUCUACUGUUCUACAUGGCGUGUGAUGUCCUUCAGCCCCGAUAAGCUCUUCUACUAAGUGCUCUCACAUAGAUAUGCUGUCGUCGUUGUUAUAUAUAUCUUUACGUCAGAUAUUGUAUACACUUUUUUAAGUUACUUGAUCAGCGCCGGUUUCCAUGUGUGUUGUGUGGCUUGUGUUUCAUGAUAUUGCUUCGUUCACAUUGGCUUUUUUGGUCUUAUCUUUCAUCUCCAUGAUGAUGCCGACGCGCGUUCGUGGGAAGUUGCUUGAUCUAAGCAGUUGCCUGCGCUCGGCUUCAACGUAGAUUUUGUUGAUAGACUUGCUAUCGGAAUUUGGGGACUUGCCUUGAUUCGUUCUGAGAGGAAAAAUUCUAUCCUGUUGGCUUUCUUUUGAGCUUUUCUUCGAUGAGCGCCUUAUUUGAACCCCGAAAUUUUAUUAUUAUUAUAGACACGCUGCUGGUGAAAAUUUUAUUAGCGCGAUACUUUAUAGUAACAAUAUUAUUGAUGCAAAUGAUGGUCGUGAUGAUGAUUGUAAUGAUGACUAUAGAUGAUGUUUUCUAUUGUUACGGUUAGUGUUCUUUUUUCUCUUUUUGUGCGAAACGCUACCAUACAUUCCUUGCUGUAAAGGCGCUACUGCGACCGUACGAUCGAUUUUCUAUUAAUCUCCCAUUUAUUUCUUUAUGAAGAUAAGGAUGAAAGACGUUUAUCGUAAAUAACAUACACGGUCACUGAAAGGUCGACGUGACUUCUGUAGUGAAUUACAACGAAAGAAACCCUUCUGAGUUUUUUUUUUUUUUUGUCAAUCAUCUCUUGCAUUUUAGAAGUGGAAAUUUUUCGGUUGAGAUUGGCAAAAUACUUGUAAUAUGUAACACUUGCAAACAAAAUUAUUGGCUUUAUUCUAUUGGCAGAUGUUACAAUGCACCUUGGAAGAUCGUUGAAUAAAGUUUGGACCUAU
rnacentral:lncRNA from 1 species